rnacentral:lncRNA from 1 species
GCUUGAGCCACAUCCCCAGCCCUCAAAAUAAUUUUUAAAAGGCUUGUGUUGUAGUUCAGUGAUAUAGAAUUUGGGGGGUUAAUCUCAAGCACUACACAUGAAGAAUUAAAAGUUGGAUGACCUAAAGAUCCAGAAAUGCCAGUGCUAAAUAUGUAUCCAUGAAAAUUUAAAUCAGAAAAUUGAAGAGAUACCUCUGCUUUUGUGUUUAGUGCACAUAUUGUUUUCAUUUAAAGCUAGGGACUCAAUGUAUGUGCCCAUCAAUGAUUAAAUGAGUAAAAAUAUUGUACUUAUAUACUAUUAUUAUUCAGUUGUAAAAAUAUUUUAUCUUUUAAAGUGUUAUAAGAAAUAUAUGCAGGACUUUGCAUUAAGUGAAAUGUGGCAUGCAGAGAUUAAGUUGCAGGAGCAUUUGAUUCACAUGUGGAAGUGUGGAAAUCAGAAAUUUAGUGAGUAAAAUUUUGCUCACCAGGUACUGUGUUUUGUGUAGGGUUGAUAUUAUAGUCAAAGUCUCAUAUUUUUUUAAAUUUUAUUGCACAUAAGAGGCUCAAGAGUUUUGUUUUACCACAUGGUGAGAGUAUUAUGUUCUUUAUAAAUACUAUUAG